GUCCCAAACUCUGUAGUGAGUCCACACAAAAGUUCUUGUUCAAAUAGUUUUUCUAAUAACCAACGUUGGUAGAAGUAUUUGUAUAUGAAUUUCCGUAUACUUUGGUACCACUUGGUGCUACACAAAAACACAACAAAAGUUUUGCAGACUCUAUCUCACAUAUAAGAAAUUUCGACUUCAGCGGAUAUUAAAUCGAAUUUUUCAUUCUAAUGCUGCUCAGCUGCUCAUUGAAUCCAGGACACGCUGUUCAACGAAGCUGCUAUUUUGACACUGACUUGCAUAACCUAAUGAAGACUGAACGGCAUACUUCAACAAAAUGGCUAUAAAACAAUGUUCCCCCGUUCCCCGAGUACGCACUUUACUUCUAUGCAACUGUAUUGAUUCUGCAUGAAAUUCUAGUU